rnacentral:rRNA from 1 species
UACGUAGGGUCCGAGCGUUUGUCCGGAAUUACUGGGCGUAAAGAGCUCGUAGGUGGUUUGUCGCGUUGUUCGUGAAAACUCACAGCUCAACUGUGGGCGUGCGGGCGAUACGGGGCAGACUAGAGUACUGCAGGGGAGGACUGGAAUUCCUGGUGUAGGCGGUGAAAUGCGCAGAUAUCAGGAGGAACACCGGUGGCGAAGGCGGCGAUCUGGGUAGAUACUGACGCUGAGGUGCGAAAGCGUGGGGGAGCAAACAGG